rnacentral:rRNA from 1 species
CCAGCAGCCGCGGUAAUUCCAGCUCCAAUAGCGUAUAUUAAAGUUGUUGCGGUUAAAAAGCUCGUAGUUGGAUCUCGGUGCCGGACCGGCGGUCCGCCUCGCCGCGGUAUUACUGCCGGCCCCGGAGCCAUCACGCCGGCCGUCCCUAGGUGCUCUUCACUGAGUGUCUUGGGUGACCGGAACGUUUACUUUGAACAAAUUAGAGUGCUCCAAGCAGGCGUGUUUCGCCCGCAUACUUCAGCAUGGAAUAAUGGAAUAGGACCUCGGUUCUAUUGCGUUGGUUUUCGGAACCCGAGGUAAUGAUUAAUAGGGACAGGCGGGGGCAUUCGUAUUGCGACGCUAGAGGUGAAAUUCUUGGACCGUCGCAAGACGAACAACUGCGAAAGCAUUUGCCAAGAAUGUUUUCAUUAAUCAAGAACGAAAGUUAGAGGUUCGAAGGCGAUCAGAUACCGCCCUAGUUCUAACCAUAAACGAUGCCAACCAGCGAUCCGCCAAAGUUCCUCCGAUGACUCGGCGGGCAGCUUCCGGGAAACCAAAGUUUUUGGGCUCCGGGGGAAGUAUGGUUGCAAAGCUGAAACUUAAAGGAAUUGACGGAAGGGCACCACCAGGAGUGGAGCCUGCGGCUUAAUUCGACUCAACACGGGAAAACUCACCCGGCCCGGACACUGGAAGGAUUGACAGAUUGAGAGCUCUUUCUUGAUUCGGUGGGUGGUGGUGCAUGGCCGUUCUUAGUUGGUGGAGCGAUUUGUCUGGUUAAUUCCGAUAACGAACAAGACUCAAACCUACUAACUAGACGAUCGAUUUGGGCGAGCUGUUUCCUGCCUCCGUGWAGGAGCGGCACUGCCUCCGUCGGUCGAUAACUUCUUAGAGGAACAAGCGGCGCUCAGCCGCACGAGAUUGAGCAAUAACAGGUCUGUGAUGCCCUUAGAUGUCCGGGGCCGCACGCGCGCUACACUGAAGGAAUCAGCGUGUGUCCUUCCCUGGUCCGGCAGGACGGGGUAACCAGCUGAACCUCCUUCGUGGUAGGGAUCGGGGUUUGCAAUUGUUCCCCGUGAACGAGGAAUUCCUAGUAAGCGCGAGUCAUAAGCUCGCGUUGACUACGUCCCUGCCCUUUGUACACACCGCCCGUCGCUACUACCGAUUGAAUGAUUUAGUGAGGUCUUCGGACUGGCAGUCGCUGCGGCCUCUAGGUCGCGGCAACGCGUCGGGAAGAUGACCGAACUUGACCAUUUAGAGGAAGUAAAAGUCGUAACAAGGUUUCC